rnacentral:rRNA from 1 species
GACGUAGGUGGCGAACGUUAUCCGGAAUUAUUGGGCGUAAAGAGCUCGUAGGCGGUUUGUUGCGUCGGCUGUGAAAUCCCGAGGCUCAACCUCGGGUCUGCAGUCGAUACGAGCAAACUAGAGUGUUGCAGGGGAGACUGGAAUUCCUGGUGUAGCGGUGAAAUGCGCAGAUAUCAGGAGGAACACCGGUGGCGAAGGCGGGUCUCUGGGCAACAACUGACGCUGAGGAGCGAAAGCGUGGGGAGCGAACAGG